AGUGAACGCUGGCGGUAGGCCUAACACAUGCAAGUCGAACGGCAGCACAGUAAGAGCUUGCUCUUACGGGUGGCGAGUGGCGGACGGGUGAGGAAUACAUCGGAAUCUACUUUUUCGUGGGGGAUAACGUAGGGAAACUUACGCUAAUACCGCAUACGACCUACGGGUGAAAGCAGGGGAUCUUCGGACCUUGCGCGAUUGAAUGAGCCGAUGUCGGAUUAGCUAGUUGGCGGGGUAAAGGCCCACCAAGGCGACGAUCCGUAGCUGGUCUGAGAGGAUGAUCAGCCACACUGGAACUGAGACACGGUCCAGACUCCUACGGGAGGCAGCAGUGGGGAAUAUUGGACGAUGGGGGCAAGCCUGAUCCAGCCAUACCGCGUGGGUGAAGAAGGCCUUCGGGUUGUAAAGCCCUUUUGUUGGGAAAGAAAAGCAGCAGGUUAAUACCCCGCUGUUCUGACGGUACCCAAAGAAUAAGCACCGGCUAAGUUCGUG
rnacentral:rRNA from 1 species